rnacentral:lncRNA from 1 species
CUCUGUAUUGCAUAUGAUGAGAGCCAGGCGUGUGCGGUUGUUUCUCUCCUUUAUUGGAUAGAUCUCUUCAGCUCUUUCUUUACAUAGUCUCAGGAAUUCUUCAUGAGGACAAAGCUUGAGGGCAUCUGUAGAUUCUCCUGACUCAGGUGGUCCAGCCUCCAUAUUCGGAUGAGCUUUUUUAUUGGGGGAUAUUUGGUCUAUGUUAAAAAAGGUUUGAAGAAGCAUUUGUCCUGCCAUACGUUGCUUCUCUUGCAUAGAGUCUGCCAUGAC